GUACAUCGACUACGUGCUGUCGCGCAUCACCGUGAUCGGUGCGAUCUAUCUCGCGGUCGUCUGUCUGAUCCCGGAAAUUCUGAUCUCUUACGCGUCGGUGCCGUUCUAUCUCGGCGGUACCUCGCCUCGCUUCUGAUCGUCGUCAGUGUGACGAUGGAUACGGUCGCCCAGGUGCAGGGCUAUCUGCUGGCGCACCAGUACGAAGGGUUGAUCCGUAAAUCGAAACU
rnacentral:misc_RNA from 1 species